rnacentral:rRNA from 1 species
GCUUUUACAAGGCGAAACCGCGAAUGGCUCAUUAAAUCAGUUAUGGUUCACUAGAUCGUAUGAAUUACAUGGAUAACUGUGGUAAUUCUAGAGCUAAUACAUGCAUCAAGCCCGGCUGUCUCGUACAGCGGGCGCAGUUAUUAGAACAAAAUCAAUCCGGCCUCGGUCGGUUGAUUGGUGACUCUGAAUAACCGAAGCGGAGCGCUAAGGUCUCGUACCGGCGCCAGAUCUUUCAAGUGUCUGACUUAUCAGCUUGUUGCGAGGUUAUGUUCCUCGCAUGGCUGUUACGGGUGACGGGGAAUCAGGGUCCGAUUCCGGAGAGGGAGCCUGAGAAACGGCUACCACAUCCAAGGAAGGCAGCAGGCGCGCAAAUUACCCACUCCCGGCACGGGGAGGUAGUGACGAAAAAUAACGAUGCGAGAGCUUUUAGCUUUUCGUAAUCGGAAUGGGUACACUUUAAAUCCUUUAACGAGGAUCUAUUGGAGGGCAAGUCUGGUGCCAGCAGCCGCGGUAAUUCCAGCUCCAAUAGCGUAUAUUAAAGUUGCUGCGGUUAAAAAGCUCGUAGUUGGAUCCGGGUAGUCGACGCGCGGUUGGCCUCAAGGCUUUACUGCGUGCUCGGCGCCACUAUCCGGCAUGUCUUGCAUGCUCUUUACUGAGUGUGCUUGGCGGCCGGAACGUUUACUUUGAAAAAAUUAGAGUGCUUAAAGCAGGCAUACAGCCUUGCAUAAUGGUGCAUGGAAUAAUGGAAUAGGACAUCGGUCCUAUUUUGUUGGUUUUCGGGGCUCGAUGUAAUGAUUAAGAGGAACAGACGGGGACAUUCGUAUUGCGGCGUUAGA